AGAGUUUGAUCAUGGCUCAGGACGAACGCUGGCGGUGCGCCUUAUGCAUGCAAGUCGAGCGAAGCUUUUCAGUAGUUUACUACAGAAAAUGACUGAGCGGCGAACGGGUGAGUAACGCGUGAGCAACCUACCUUAGUUACUGGGAUAGCCCGAGGAAACUCGGAUUAAUACCGGAUAUUCUUAUUUAAUCACAUGAUUUUUAAAGGAAAGGUCAGCCGAACUAAGAUGGGCUCGCGUUCUAUCAGCUAGUUGGUAGGGUAAUGGCCUACCAAGGCUACGACGGAUAGCUGGUCUGAGAGGACGAUCAGCCACACUGGGACUGAGACACGGCCCAGACUCCUACGGGAGGCUGCAGCAGGGAAUAUUGCGCAAUGAGCGAAAGCUUGACGCAGCGACACCGCGUGUGGGAUGACGGAUCUAGGUUUGUAAACCACUUUCAGGAGGGAAGAAAAUGACGGUACCUCCACAAGAAGCCCCGGCCAACUACGUGCCAGCAGCCGCGGUAAUACGUAGGGGGCGAGCGUUGUCCGGAUUUAUUGGGCGUAAAGAGCUCGUAGGCGGUUCAACAAGUCGGUCGUGAAAGUUCAGGGCUCAACCCUGAAAUGUCGAUCGAUACUGUUGUGACUAGGAUACGGUAGAGGUGAGUGGAAUUCCGAGUGUAGCGGUGAAAUGCGUAGAUAUUCGGAGGAACACCAAUUGCGAAGGCAGCUCACUGGGCCGCUAUCGACGCUGAGGAGCGAAAGCUAGGGGAGCAAACAGGAUUAGAUACCCUGGUAGUCCUAGCUGUAAACGAUGGAUACUAGACGUA
rnacentral:rRNA from 1 species